GCCGGACCCGCCCGCUCGUCCCCGCCCCUCCUUCCCCCCCUCCGCCGUUCCAAGUGUCUGUGUGUGCGUGCGCCAGGGGGGCGGGAGGGACGGGGAGGAGGGGGCGGCCAUGCCGAGGGGGCGGCCCCCCGAGCCCGGCGGGGAGAGUGGCGAGCCCGGCGCCGAGGCAGAUGAUGUUCUGACACCGAAUAUAGAGAACGGAAAUUUUCCCUACCAAGUACCUAACUUGCAUAAGUGUGAGAUCUGUUUGCUGUCUUUUCCAAAAGAGACCCAGUUUCAGCGCCAUAUGAGGGAUCAUGAGCAAAAUGACAAGCCUCACCGAUGUGACCAGUGUCCGAUGUCAUUUAAUGUUGAAUUCAACUUGACACUUCAUAAAUGUACUCACAAUGGCGAAGAUCCUACGUGUCCUGUGUGCAACAAGAAAUUCUCCAGAGUAGCCAGUCUGAAAGCUCAUAUAAUGCUACAUGAGAAAGAGGAGAAUCUUAUCUGUUCAGAGUGUGGAGAUGAAUUCACUUUACAGAGUCAGCUGUCCAUACACAUGGAAGAACAUCGUCAAGAAUUGGCAGGCAGCAGGAUCCACAGCUGCAAAUCUUGCAAAAAGGAAUUUGAAACUUCCUCACAGCUAAAGGAGCACAUGAAAACUCACUAUAAAAUAAGAGUAUCAAAUACUAGAUCUUACAACAGAAACAUUGACAGAAGUGGGUUUACCUAUUCCUGUCCUCACUGUGGAAAGACGUUCCAGAAACCAAGUCAGUUAACACGACAUGUUAGAAUACACACAGGUGAAAGACCAUUCAAAUGCAGCGAGUGUGGGAAAGCCUUUAACCAGAAGGGAGCUCUGCAGACUCACAUGAUCAAGCACACAGGGGAGAAGCCCCACGCCUGUGCCUUUUGUCCCGCAGCCUUUUCCCAGAAAGGCAAUCUGCAGUCGCACAUACAGAGAGUGCAUUCAGAGGUGAAGAAUGGCCCUACAUACAACUGUACAGAAUGUAGCUGUGUCUUCAAAAGCUUGGGUAGUUUAAAUACACAUAUCAGCAAGAUGCACAUGGGUGGUCCACAGAAUUCUGCGAGUGCUUCAACAGAUGUAUCUCAUGUUACAGCAGACCCUGUCACCCAGCCUUUAACAACAUCCCCUGCUAAUCUUUUGCAACCUGUUGAUAACAAAUGGAAGAAUGCCACACAUUUUCGGUCUCCGCUUCUUCAACAGACAGAAAACCAGGUGUCUCCAGCUGCUGCUCACCAAGGUCAGCAGGCUGUCACUGAUGUCAUUCAGCAGCUCCUUGAGUUAUCAGAACCAGGUCCUGUAGAAAAUAACCAACCUCAACAACCUGGUCAACAGCUCAACAUUGCGGUGGGAAUCAGUAGAGAUAUUUUGCAGCAAGCGUUAGAGAACAGUGGGUUGUCUUCAAUUCCUGUCUCUGCACAUUCUACUGACUGCAGCCAGGCUAAGACUGCUGGGCCCCAGGAUCAGAACCCAGAUGUCCCAACUCUCUCAAAUCAUCAAGCUGAUUCUAGUAAUGCAGAACAAGAUAAGGAGCAAGAGAGUACAGAGAAACUAGAUAAAAAAGAAAAAAAGUUUAUUAAGAAAAAAUCACCAUUUUUACCUGGUUCUAUACGUGAAGAAAAUGGAAUAAGGUGGCAUGUUUGUCCAUAUUGCUCUAAAGAAUUUAAAAAACCAAGUGAUCUAGUGCGCCACAUUCGCAUUCAUACCCACGAGAAGCCAUUCAAGUGUCCCCAGUGUUUCCGCGCCUUUGCAGUUAAGAGUACUCUAACAGCGCACAUAAAAACACACACUGGCAUCAAAGCUUUCAAGUGCCAAUUUUGUAUGAAAAGCUUUUCCACCUCAGGGAGUUUAAAAGUUCACAUUCGUCUACAUACAGGUGUUAGACCUUUUGCUUGUCCUCAUUGUGACAAAAAGUUUAGAACAUCGGGCCAUCAGAAAACUCACAUCACUUCACAUUUUAAACAUACUGAACUAAGAAAGCUGCGACAUCAACGUAAACCUGCAAAAGUUCGAGUAGGAAAGUCGAGUGGUCCAGUACCAGACAUUCCUUUGCAAGAGCCCAUACUCAUAACUGAUUUAGGUCUUAUCCAGCCAAUCCCAAGGAAUAGCCAGGUCUUCCAAAAUUAUUUUAACAGUAAUUUUGUAAAUAAUGCAGAGAGACCAUACAAGUGUUUUUAUUGCCAUCGAGCCUAUAAAAAAUCUUGUCAUCUAAAACAACACAUCAGGUCACAUACUGGUGAAAAGCCAUUUAAGUGCUCUCAGUGUGGAAGAGGUUUUGUGUCAGCUGGAGUUCUGAAAGCACAUAUUAGAACACACACUGGAUUGAAAGCUUUCAAGUGUGUUGUAUGCAAUGGGGCCUUCACUACUGGUGGUAGCCUUAGGCGACAUAUGGGGAUCCAUAAUGAUCUUCGACCGUAUAUGUGUCCGUAUUGUCAAAAGACAUUCAAAACAUCACUAAACUGUAAAAAACACAUGAAGACUCAUAGAUAUGAACUUGCACAGCAACUUCAGCAGAAUCAGCAAUCCUCUUCGAUAGAUGAUUCUACAGUAGAUCAGCAGAGCAUUCAUGUUUCUACACAGAUGCAAGUGGAGAUUCAAAGUGAUGAGCUACAGCAGUCAGAAGCUGUUGCAACAGAUCAACAGGCUAUUUUAGAGUUAGACCAGCAACCAGUAGUAGGCACAGAAGAAACAGCACUAGAACAACAGUUGGCUGACCAACCUUUAGAGCAAGAUGAGGAUAGAUUUGUGACAUCCCAGCAUGCUUUACAGGAAAACAUCACUCAGUUUGAACAACAGGCUAUAACACAGCAGCCAUUUGAUCAACAGGGCUUAUCACAAGGUUUUACAGUGAAUGACAGCUACAAUCAACAGACUCAAUUUCCAGCUGUACAGCAGCUGCAGGAUUCAAGCACACUUGAAUCUCAGGCUCUUUCAACGAGUUACCAUCCACCAGCCCUUCUUCAGGUUCCAAAUACAGACACUAUUAAUGUAACUACUCGCUUGAUACAAGAUCAGUCACCACAAGAAGAACUUGAAUUGCAUACCCAACGGCCUCAUUUUCUUGAGGAUAAUGAAGAUCAAAGUAGGCGUUCAUAUAGAUGUGAAUAUUGCAACAAGGGUUUUAAGAAAUCCAGCCAUUUGAAACAACACGUACGAUCACAUACUGGUGAGAAACCUUAUAAAUGCCAACUCUGUGGACGUGGUUUUGUUUCCUCAGGAGUUCUUAAGUCACAUGAGAAGACUCAUACAGGAGUUAAAGCAUUCAGCUGUAGCAUUUGCAAUACCUCCUUCACAACUAAUGGCAGCCUUACCAGGCACAUGGCAACUCACAUGAGCAUGAAGCCUUACAAGUGCCCAUUCUGUGAUGAAAGCUUUCGAACAACUGUUCACUGCAAAAAACAUAUGAAAAAACAUCAGACAGUCUCCUCAGCUGUAGCAGCAGCUACAGAUACAGGAGGGGGAGUUGCAUGUGUUGAAGAUGAUGAUGAAAACUCUGAAAGAACUUCCAGAAAAUCUCGUCCUGGUGUCAUAACUUUUACAGAAGAAGAAACAGCAGAACUGGCAAAGAUUAGGCCUCAAGAAAGUGCCACUGUCUCAGAAAAAGUUCUUGUCCAGUCUGCUGCAGAGAAAGACAGAAUUAGUGAGAUCAAAGAUAAGCAAGCAGAACUGGAAGCAGAACCCAAAUAUGCCAACUGUUGUAGUUAUUGUCCCAAAAGUUUUAAAAAACCCAGUGAUUUAGUCAGGCAUGUUCGUAUCCAUACUGGAGAGAAGCCGUAUAAGUGCGAAGAAUGUGGAAAGAGUUUCACUGUAAAAUCCACUCUGGAUUGUCAUGUUAAAACACACACAGGCCAGAAGCUUUUCUGUUGUCAUGUGUGCAGUAAUUCUUUUUCUACAAAAGGGAGUCUAAAAGUCCACAUGCGUCUGCAUACAGGAGCAAAGCCUUUCAAAUGUCCACACUGUGAUUUACGGUUUCGUACUUCGGGGCGCAGAAAAACCCACAUACAGUGUCAUUAUAAACCGGAGGCAAAGAAAGUUAGGAAGCCUGUUGCCCGCACUUCAACUGAGGGACUGCAACCAGUCAGCCUUCUUAAUUCAUCCUCUACAGACCCCAAUGUUUUCAUCAUGAAUAACUCCGUUUUGACAAGUCAGUUUGAUCAAAAUUUACUUCAGCAAGGACUUGUGGGCCAGGCUAUUCUGCCUGCUUCAGUGUCAGCUGGAGGUGACUUAACUGUGUCCUUGACAGAUGGUAGCUUGGCCACUCUUGAAGGAAUACAGCUACAACUUGCUGCUAAUCUGGUUGGACAAAAUGUUCAAAUUUCUGGAAUAGAUGCCAACAGUAUUAACAACAUAACAUUACAGAUCGAUCCAAGUAUUCUACAGCAGACGUUGCAGCAGAGUAAUUUACUUACUCAGCAACUAACUGGAGAUCCCAGUAUGGCUCCACAGAAUCCCUCCCUCCAGGCAACAGAAAGUGCAGUGCCAGCUAAUGUGGUUAUUCAGCCCAUAUCAGGCCUGUCUUUGCAGCCCACGGUAACAUCAUCUGCUAAUAUGACAAUAGGAUCCCUGUCUGAGCAGGAGUCUGUGCUGACAACCAGCGCAAAUGGUGCACAGGACAUUUCUCAAGUCAUAACUUCACAGGGUAUGGUGUCAUCUUCAAAUGGACAACAUGAGAUAAUGUUGACCAUAAAUAAUUCCAGUUUGAGUCAAGUUCUAGCUCAUGCUUCAGGCUCUACUAAUGUGACCUCAUCAGGAAGUCCUCAAGAAAUCACUCUUACAAUAUCUGGCCAAGAUCUUAUUCAGCAUAAUUCUGGAGGCAGUGAUCUGAAUACUGGCUUAAGGCUAACAGCGCCAACCAUCAGCAGUCAGACUACAGGUGCUACAUUAACUAUAAGCAAUGACCAGCUGCUUUCUCAGGGCCCUUCACUAAACGCUCCAGAACUUAAUACAACAGGUGGAACAAACCUUCCUUCAACAACACCCAUAUCACAGACUGCAGUUUCUGCCCAGAAUUUGGUAAUGUCUUCAUCAGGAGUUGGAGGAGAUGGUAGUGUCACUUUGACUCUUGCUGACACUCAGGGAAUGUUGUCAGGUGGUCUUGAUGCAGUUACACUUAAUAUCACUUCACAGGGUCAACAGUUCCCUGCUAUACUCACAGAUUCCAAUCUCACUAGCCAAAGUGGAUCAGGCUCACAGCAAGUUAUACUGGUGAGCCAUACACCCCAUCCAGCACCUGCAAAUUCUGAUGAAAUAACGUAUCAGGUGACAGAGGUUUCCCCUAAUGUGACUAAAAGCAGUCAAGCAGAAAAAGAAAGUCGUGGGCACCAGUGUUUUGAGUGUAGUCAAACCUUUUAUUCAGUGACCAUGCUGACGCACCAUUGUAAGGAGGUUCAUGGCAAGGAACGAAUACACGUUUGCCACAUCUGUAAUAAAGCCUUUAAGCGGGCAACGCAUCUCAAGUGUGAGAGGUAGGCAGCGAUGAAGUUGCAAUGAGAAGUUCAAAGGCAGUCACAAGAGACUUCAUGGCCUUGGAACAACUUUUUAAGGGAUCAGAAGAACAAGUAAUCUUUUCUUCUAUCCUUCCAGUUGCAGGGAAUGAUGAAGGAAGAGACAGCAGAUCAAUAACUAUCUGAGACUGGCAUCAGCAGCAAAAUGUUGGGGUUUUUGAUCGUGGAUUGGUCCACAUGACAGCAGGCCUGCUGCAGAUGGGCUACACUUGUCUCAAAGGGGUAAAAGGAUCUUUGAGGAGUUAGCGAGGCUUAUUGAAAGAGCUUUAAACUAGGUUUGUAGGGGGAAAGGGAUAAAACCAGUCUCACUAGAGAUAAGCUUGUGGGUGGCACACCAAUGUUUGAGGAAUCAUAUGCUAGCAAGGCCCUUCAGUCUGCUCCACAGUGGAGCAUGUUUGAAGCGUCCCUGUACCAGUGCAUGCAGCACCGUAGACACCUCAGUGGAGGGAGGGGAAAUGGCCAAUGACCUAAGACACAUGUCUAUAGGGCAGGAUGGAAUCCACCCAUGCAUACUGAGGGACCUGUCAGAAGAGCUUGCCAAACCACUUUCAAUCAUUUAUGAGCAGCCCUGGCUCCAGGGAGGUCUCAGUUGACUGGAGUUUAACAAAUGUGACACUUGUCUACAAGAAGGGCUGGAAAUAGGAUCCAGGAAACUACAGGCUUGUCAACCUGAUCUCAGUGCCAGGAAAGGUUAUAGAUUAACUCAUCUUGAGUGCCAUCAUGUGGCACAUACAGGACAGUCAGUGGAUCAGGCAUAGCCAGCAUGGGUUUAUGAAAGGCAGGUUCUGCUUGAGUAAUUUGAUUUCCUUCUGUGACAAGGUGACUUGCUCAGUGGUGGAGGGAAAGGCUGUGGAUGUUGUCUACCUGAACUUUAGCAAAGCCUUUGACACCAUUUCCCAGAGCAUUCUCAUAGAGAAGCAGUCUUCCAAUGGCUUGGACCGGUGCACUGAUCACUGUCUGUAUGGCCACGCCCAGAGUGGUGAUGAAUAGAGUUACAUCCAGCUGGUGGCCAGUCCCAAGGGGUGUUCCCCAGGGCUCAGUACUGGGACCACUUCUAUUUAAUAUCUUUAUCAAUGAUCUGGACAAGGGGAAUCAAGUGCACUCUCAAUAAGUUUGCAGAGGACACUAAGUUGUGGGGGAGUGUUGAUCUGCUGGAGGGCAGAAAGGCUCUGCAGAGGGAUUUGGACAGUAUGAGAUUCAACAGGCGAAGUGACAGGUCCUGCACUUGGGUCACAAGAAUGCUAUAGGCCAGGGGUGGAGUGGGUGUGAAGCAACCCAGUAGAAAAAGAGCUGGGUGUACUGGUCAGCAACAGUUGAACAAGAUCCAGCAGUGUGCCCAGGUGACCAAAAAAACCAGUGGCAUCUUGGCUUGUAUCAGAAAUUGCGUGGCCAGCAGGACCAGGGUAGUGAUAGUCCCCCUGUACUUGCCACUGGUGAGGUCUCACCUCAAAUUCGGCUUUGGGGCCCUCUCUUCAAGAAAGACAAUGAGAUCCUGGAGUGUGUCCAGGGAAGGGCAGCAGAGCUAGUGAAGGGUGCCAAUUACAGGUCUCUAGUGAGGAGCAACUGAGGGAGCUGGGGUUGUUUAGCCUGGAGGAAAGGAGGCUUGGGGAAGACCUUAUCGCUACAAAUACCUGAAAGGAGGAUGUAGGCAGAUGGGGGUCAACCUCUUCUCCAAGGUAACAAGGAAUAGGACAAGAAGAAAUGACCUCAGUUGUGCCAGGUGAGGUUUAGAUUGGCUAUUAGGGAAAAAUUUCUUCACUGAAAGCUUGUCAGGCAUUGGCACAGGCUUUACAGGGAGGUGGUUGAGUACCCAGCUCUGAAGAUAUUAAAAUAUGUACAUGUGGCACUGUGAACAGUGGCUUAGUGGACAUAGUUUAGUGGUAGGUUAGGACAGUGCUGGGUUAAUGUGUGGCUUUGAUCUUAAGGGUCUUAAAGGACAGUUUCAUUUACCACUGGACCAUCAUGUACUAAAACAAAUUCCACACAUUAUCAGACUCUUCUUCAUUAAGGUGUUCCAGAAUGUCAGCUGUAAGCAGCCUUUAACAGGAAAUUCAGCAAAGAGGAAACCAUGGGGUUUGGCUUAGGGUUUUGGGAAGGGUUCAGUGACCUCUUACUCAUGGUUUUCAUUUUAUACUGGAUAGUAUUUUGGAGAUCACCAGAAAUAUUAAGGGCACUGCCAGACUUCAGGCUUUUCAGAAAAUCCAAAUAAGAGGUAAGGGUAUCAGUCUUUAGAUACCAGUACUUAAUUAUAUGGGGUUUUUUCCAAAGGUAUCAGUACCAGCAGUUUCACAGUUAUCCACAGGAAAAUCUUCUUUAGAGAUUAUGUAUGAACACCCCUACCACCCACCCUGCCCCCAGUGUCAAAAAUUUUCAGUCCGGUGACUUCAGUUCCCCUUCUGAUGUGGGUGACUGUUCUGAUUUUACAGCUUCAGAGAGGAGAAUCUUAAGAUGUGCAUUGGACUAAACUGUCCAAUUCCAUAUCAGUAUGCAGUGGAAAUAUCUGCAAGUUAACUGUAGAUAGUAAAUAAAGCACAGACAUGAUUCUAAGAUGAAAUUAAAACAGCACAUCUUAUUAAAACAAUGGAAUGAAAUGAACUUUCUGCCAAUCUUUCAGAGGUGGUUACAAUUAAUGUUUCAGGAUAGGUAGAGUGGGAAUAGGAGUGACAUACUAAUGCAUGUGUGAGGGGCUAAGGGCCCUUUCAAAGAAGGUUUCCUGUUCUUCUUCUCUAAUUAGAUAAUGCUGGUUUGGAACCCCAAGGUAGUUCCUAGCUGAUGAAUAUGAGAAUUACACAAAUAAACUUGUAAAAUGUUACAUGAACAAUCAAUGAAAUACUAAAUAUGUCUAUAAAGAGGUACUUGAAGUUCAGAGCACUGUAUUCCCAUGAACUCUUUUUCAAAAGUAUAUGUAUUUUACAGGAAAAUUGUAAGAGAUUGACAGAUCAGUGGACCUGAACUGCAUCACAAACUGUUCAGAGAAAGAUGACAGAAAGUUUUAUGGUGGCUAUCUGAAUGCUAUCUUGUUUGCUUUCAAGUAGAAAAUGUGUAAACAAAUUCUACAGAUAC